CAGGAAAUAGUUUUAUAUAAAAUAUUGACUUUGGGUGUCAAAGAUGAAAACAAAAAAAUUUCUUUUCUGA
rnacentral:tRNA from 1 species